GGCUAUGGCCAUGCCACCCUGAACAAGCCUGAUGUCUGAUCUCAGAAGCUAAGCAGGGUCGGGCCUGGUUAGUACUUGAAUGGGAGACCACCUAAGAAGACCAGGUGCUGUAGGCA
rnacentral:rRNA from 1 species